AUACGGAGGGUGCAAGCGUUGCUCGGAAUCACUGGGCGUAAAGCGCGCGCAGGCGGGCUGAUAAGUUGGAUGUGAAAGCCUACGGCUCAACCGUAGAACUGCAUCCAAAACUGUCAGUCUAGAGUGUGGGAGAGGAAGAUGGAAUUAGUUGUGUAGGGGUAAAAUCCGUAGAGAUAACUAGGAAUACCAAAAGCGAAGGCAAUCUUCUGGAACACUACUGACGCUGAGGCGCGAAGGCGUGGGGAGCAAACAGGAUUAGAUACCCCAGUAGUCC
rnacentral:rRNA from 1 species